UGCAAGCGUUAAUCGGAAUUACUGGGCGUAAAGCGCACGCAGGCGGUUUGUUAAGUCAGAUGUGAAAUCCCCGCGCUUAACGUGGGAACUGCAUUUGAAACUGGCAAGCUAGAGUCUUGUAGAGGGGGGUAGAAUUCCAGGUGUAGCGGUGAAAUGCGUAGAGAUCUGGAGGAAUACCGGUGGCGAAGGCGGCCCCCUGGACAAAGACUGACGCUCAGGUGCGAAAGCGUGGGGAGCAA
rnacentral:rRNA from 1 species